CUGCCGUGCCUGGGAACAUUUUGAUAACAGCAAUGGCGAUGCGCCUGGGCUGGCAGACGGCCAGGGCAUUGCUGCCGUUUCUGUGCUGCUGUACUGGACAGGCUGGAACUCCAGUGUGAACUCGAGUGGAAGGGACUGUGACCUGUGGAUGAGUCCAUGUGGGAGCAGGUACAUCUCGAAGCAUCUGUGGCCAUGGUUAUGUCUGUGCUAGCAGGUGUGCCUCAGAAGGGAUUGUGGCCCAUGGAUAAGUCCAUGCUAGAGAAUGUACACCUCGAAGCAUCUGUGGCUGUGGAUAAGUCCAUGCUGCGUAUCACCUCGGACUAGAGCACCCCUACGGAGAUUCAAACACUACGUUUCCUGCAGAUUACACUAAGAGGCAGUGAAUUUCAAGAAAAGUCUCAGCAUGUCCCUGGAUUGUCUAAAUUACCCAUAGCUUAGAGGCAAUUUAACAGUAUUUAAGUGAUAAUAUGCUAAGCUGCUUCUGAUGAUGCUACAUUGCCUCCUAAAAUCCUGAGAAUUAAUCAAAUCAGGCCCAUGAUCUUCUGCCAUUAACAUCUCCUCUUCACCAUUUUCCAUGUGUGUCCUAUGGGAAAAAAGUGAUGACAUUACAGCCGCCUCCAAGAAUCUUUGGGAUGUUUAUAAGAACGAUGUGAGCCCAAGAGCAGUCUUCUUGAGACUGAAAGAGAGGAGUGGAAAACCAUGCGAGGACGGAUGGCACAGAGUUUGGCUAGUUUGUGUUUGGCCUUGGUUUGCUGUGGGUAUGCAUAGAACCCGCACAGUCAAAGCAACGAAAACUCGUCCGAGCUGGAGCUCUCUGGUGAGGAAGUCACUCCAAGAACACGCUGACCACUGUACAAGAUUAUCACACCGGCUCCUUGCUGACUGUUCAGAGGACAGGGAUGUUUAAACCAUAGAGGCUUUGUCUGUUUAAAGAUAUUAUCGCUUGCUGUGCUUUAGGCUGUCCAAAGAUCUUGAUCCACUAAUCUAAUCACACAAUUUAAUUAAAUAAAACAAAAUCUAGGUUGCAGUGACA